GAGUUUGAUCCUGGCUCAGAGCGAACGCUGGCGGCAGGCCUAAUACAUGCAAGUCGAACGGCUCUUCGGAGCAGUGGCGGACGGGUGAGUAACGCGUGGGAACGUGCCCUUUGGUUCGGAACAACACAGGGAAACUUGUGCUAAUACCGGAUGUGCCCUUCGGGGAAAGAUUUAUCGCCAUUGGAGCGGCCCGCGUUGGAUUAGCUAGUUGGUGGGGUAAUGGCCCACCAAGGCGACGAUCCAUAGCUGGUCUGAGAGGAUGAUCAGCCACACUGGGACUGAGACACGGCCCAGACUCCUACGGGAGGCAGCAGUAGGGAAUCUUGCGCAAUGGGCGAAAGCCUGACGCAGCCAUGCCGCGUGAAUGAUGAAGGUCUUAGGAUUGUAAAAUUCUUUCACCGGGGAAGAUAAUGACGGUACCCGGAGAAGAAGCCCCGGCUAACUUCGUGCCAGCCGCCGCGGU
rnacentral:rRNA from 1 species